AUGCUACGAGCAGAUGUUUGCCGGCUCCAUCCGCGACCCCCACUGGCGUCCCAUCUGGAAAUCUUGGGCGCCCCUCCGGGUGAAGGUGUUCUUUGGCUCGCUGCCCUUGCCCGGUGUUGGACGGCGGCUAGGCUUGCGUGUCACAAUCUUCUGCACGCUGGCUCGUGCCUUCUAUGCGACCAGGAUACGAAAUGUAUCUACCAUAUCCUCGCUCGCUGCCCAUUCUUGCAACAAAUCUGGUUCGAUGUUAUUUCAUGGUGUCGGCUACCAAUUCCCCCACCGGGCCCUGGUGCGGAUCUCCUCUAUUGGUGGGAGCAGUCCCGCAUCAUUCUACCCGUGAGCGCAUGUAAAGGCUUCAACACUCUUGUGAUGCUCACGUCUUGGGAGCUCUGGAAGCAUAGAAACAGCUGCGUCUUCGAUGGUCUUCGCCCCUCCACUGGCAGCCUUUUCGAGACAAUUCAGCAGCAGGCUUUGCUUUGGUGUAACAUCCCAAAUUUUCAAUUUGGAAUGUUAUACAUUAGAUCAUCAUUGCAUAUCAUAUUUUAUUGCAUUUUUGGUUUGAUCCUAGAUAUUCUACGCAACUCAAGGACCCGCGGAGAGAGUUGGGGAUUUCAUUAUUUUCAUAUUCGAGUUUUUCUCAAAUCUUGA
rnacentral:rRNA from 1 species